AACAGAUCCAGCCGAACAGGACAGGAAGCACAGGCUGGCCACACACGUCUACAUGGCAAGACAAGUAACAACAGUGACAGAGGCCAACACGGCGAGACAGGGGCUCCGGUCAUCGCUCCUUCACAACCCGUCCUACCUGUCGGCUGAAAGAACGGCCGUGACCCCACGGCUCUCCGCCUGUUCUCGCCUGUCCGCGAUCUCCGAAGGGAGGCAGGGGACGCUAACAAAGACGCGAGUGGACAACCCUCAGGUCCCACAACUGUGGAGAGGACGAUGAUGCUUUAGGGGAAGAAGGGGGGACUGUCACCAGGGUUCAAACCCCAGUACUACGAGGGAAUCCCGGACAAGCGCGCUACUUGCGCCUCGGGUUUGUCAUGGCUAGAAGGGGUCAGUAAGAAUACCCGCCUCACACUACUGCUGAGUGACCGGGGUGUGCUCCACAUGACGCUUGUGUGAUGAAGUCCCCGGACCUGCCACCGUAACCUGACAGCCGGUGCCAGAAAGCGCCUCCCCUCCUCCGCCACAGACAGCGUCACUGCACGCACCCCACCCGCCAAGUCCGAUCCAGACUUGCAGAGGAAUGAAAACGAGAGGAACUCCCUGAAGUUACUGAGUAGACCGACAUGACGCAGCUGUUAAACAGCAAGCUCGAGUUAACUGAAUAUUUUGAUUAAUAAAAUUGCCAUUUUCAAAAGCCUCAAAUAUAAUAAAAUAUAUUAAUACUAAUAAACACUGAACAUAUCAA